rnacentral:lncRNA from 1 species
GUGUCUUAGGGCACAUGAAAAUGAGGUAACCUCUGAAACUCAAAAUGAAUUUUCUUAUGAUGAACUGCAAGAAGCUUUUCAUGAACUUUUGAAUGAUCUAAGAAAAUUAGGAUUGAAAAAUAAAAAUCUGAAAUUAAGAAACCAAGCAUUAGCUCAAGAAAAAGAAGAAGUUGACAGUAAAAAUAAAAAAUCAAAAAUAAAGAAUCAAACUCUAUUAAAAGAAAAAGAUCAAGUUUUGAACUUAAACAAAGCUCUUAUAAAAGAAAAUCAG